UACGAAGGGUGCAAGCGUUACUCGGAAUUACUGGGCGUAAAGCGUGCGUAGGUGGUGAGUUAAGUCUGUCGUGAAAGCCCCGGGCUCAACCUGGGAAUGGCGAUGGAUACUGGCUCGCUAGAGUGCGGUAGAGGAGAGUGGAAUUCCAGGUGUAGCGGUGAAAUGCGUAGAUAUCUGGAGGAACACCGGUGGCGAAGGCGGCAUCCUGGACCGGUAUUGACGCUGAGGCGCGAAAGCCAGGGGAGCAAACGGG
rnacentral:rRNA from 1 species